GCCCCUGUAGCUUACCAACCUAAAGCACUGGCCUUGUAAACCAAAGACGGGAACACACUCCCCUCGGGCA
rnacentral:tRNA from 1 species